rnacentral:rRNA from 1 species
UUAAGCGACUAAGCGUACACGGUGGAUGCCCUGGCAGUCAGAGGCGAUGAAGGACGUGCUAAUCUGCGAUAAGCGUCGGUAAGGUGAUAUGAACCGUUAUAACCGGCGAUUUCCGAAUGGGGAAACCCAGUGUGAUUCGUCACACUAUCAUUAACUGAAUCCAUAGGUUAAUGAGGCGAACCGGGGGAACUGAAACAUCUAAGUACCCCGAGGAAAAGAAAUCAACCGAGAUUCCCCCAGUAGCGGCGAGCGAACGGGGAGCAGCCCAGAGCCUGAAUCAGUGUGUGUGUUAGUGGAAGCGUCUGGAAAGGCGUGCGAUACAGGGUGACAGCCCCGUACACAAAAAUGCACAUAUUGUGAGCUCGAUGAGUAGGGCGGGACACGUGGUAUCCUGUCUGAAUAUGGGGGACCAUCCUCCAAGGCUAAAUACUCCUGACUGACCGAUAGUGAACCAGUACCGUGAGGGAAAGGCGAAAAGAACCCCGGCGAGGGGAGUGAAAAAGAACCUGAAACCGUGUACGUACAAGCAGUGGGAGCACGCUUAGGCGUGUGACUGCGUACCUUUUGUAUAAUGGGUCAGCGACUUAUAUUCUGUAGCAAGGUUAACCGAAUAGGGGAGCCGAAGGGAAACCGAGUCUUAACUGGGCGUUAAGUUGCAGGGUAUAGACCCGAAACCCGGUGAUCUAGCCAUGGGCAGGUUGAAGGUUGGGUAACACUAACUGGAGGACCGAACCGACUAAUGUUGAAAAAUUAGCGGAUGACUUGUGGCUGGGGGUGAAAGGCCAAUCAAACCGGGAGAUAGCUGGUUCUCCCCGAAAGCUAUUUAGGUAGCGCCUCGUGAAUUCAUCUCCGGGGGUAGAGCACUGUUUCGGCAAGGGGGUCAUCCCGACUUACCAACCCGAUGCAAACUGCGAAUACCGGAGAAUGUUAUCACGGGAGACACACGGCGGGUGCUAACGUCCGUCGUGAAGAGGGAAACAACCCAGACCGCCAGCUAAGGUCCCAAAGUCAUGGUUAAGUGGGAAACGAUGUGGGAAGGCCCAGACAGCCAGGAUGUUGGCUUAGAAGCAGCCAUCAUUUAAAGAAAGCGUAAUAGCUCACUGGUCGAGUCGGCCUGCGCGGAAGAUGUAACGGGGCUAAACCAUGCACCGAAGCUGCGGCAGCGACACUAUGUGUUGUUGGGUAGGGGAGCGUUCUGUAAGCCUGUGAAGGUGUACUGUGAGGUAUGCUGGAGGUAUCAGAAGUGCGAAUGCUGACAUAAGUAACGAUAAAGCGGGUGAAAAGCCCGCUCGCCGGAAGACCAAGGGUUCCUGUCCAACGUUAAUCGGGGCAGGGUGAGUCGACUCCUAAGGCGAGGCCGAAAGGCGUAGUCGAUGGGAAACAGGUUAAUAUUCCUGUACUUGGUGUUACUGCGAAGGGGGGACGGAGAAGGCUAUGUUGGCCGGGCGACGGUUGUCCCGGUUUAAGCGUGUAGGCUGGUUUUCCAGGCAAAUCCGGAAAACUAAGGCUGAGGCGUGAUGACGAGGCACUACGGUGCUGAAGCAACAAAUGCCCUGCUUCCAGGAAAAGCCUCUAAGCAUCAGGUAACAUCAAAUCGUACCCCAAACCGACACAGGUGGUCAGGUAGAGAAUACCAAGGCGCUUGAGAGAACUCGGGUGAAGGAACUAGGCAAAAUGGUGCCGUAACUUCGGGAGAAGGCACGCUGAUAUGUAGGUGAAGUCCCUCGCGGAUGGAGCUGAAAUCAGUCGAAGAUACCAGCUGGCUGCAACUGUUUAUUAAAAACACAGCACUGUGCAAACACGAAAGUGGACGUAUACGGUGUGACGCCUGCCCGGUGCCGGAAGGUUAAUUGAUGGGGUCAGCGCAAGCGAAGCUCUUGAUCGAAGCCCCGGUAAACGGCGGCCGUAACUAUAACGGUCCUAAGGUAGCGAAAUUCCUUGUCGGGUAAGUUCCGACCUGCACGAAUGGCGUAAUGAUGGCCAGGCUGUCUCCACCCGAGACUCAGUGAAAUUGAACUCGCUGUGAAGAUGCAGUGUACCCGCGGCAAGACGGAAAGACCCCGUGAACCUUUACUAUAGCUUGACACUGAACAUUGAGCCUUGAUGUGUAGGAUAGGUGGGAGGCUUUGAAGUGUGGACGCCAGUCUGCAUGGAGCCGACCUUGAAAUACCACCCUUUAAUGUUUGAUGUUCUAACGUUGACCCGUAAUCCGGGUUGCGGACAGUGUCUGGUGGGUAGUUUGACUGGGGCGGUCUCCUCCUAAAGAGUAACGGAGGAGCACGAAGGUUGGCUAAUCCUGGUCGGACAUCAGGAGGUUAGUGCAAUGGCAUAAGCCAGCUUGACUGCGAGCGUGACGGCGCGAGCAGGUGCGAAAGCAGGUCAUAGUGAUCCGGUGGUUCUGAAUGGAAGGGCCAUCGCUCAACGGAUAAAAGGUACUCCGGGGAUAACAGGCUGAUACCGCCCAAGAGUUCAUAUCGACGGCGGUGUUUGGCACCUCGAUGUCGGCUCAUCACAUCCUGGGGCUGAAGUAGGUCCCAAGGGUAUGGCUGUUCGCCAUUUAAAGUGGUACGCGAGCUGGGUUUAGAACGUCGUGAGACAGUUCGGUCCCUAUCUGCCGUGGGCGCUGGAGAACUGAGGGGGGCUGCUCCUAGUACGAGAGGACCGGAGUGGACGCAUCACUGGUGUUCGGGUUGUCAUGCCAAUGGCACUGCCCGGUAGCUAAAUGCGGAAGAGAUAAGUGCUGAAAGCAUCUAAGCACGAAACUUGCCCCGAGAUGAGUUCUCCCUGACUCCUUGAGAGUCCUGAAGGAACGUUGAAGACGACGACGUUGAUAGGUCGGGUGUGUAAGCGCAGCGAUGCGUUGAGCUAACCGGUACUAAUGAACCGUGAGGCUUAACCUU